rnacentral:snRNA from 1 species
GUGCUAACAUCAGCAGCACAUACACUAAAAUUGGAAUGAGACGAAGAGAUUAGCAUGGUCCCCACUCAAGAAUGACACAUAAAUUCGUGAUACAUUCCAUACUUUG